ensembl:lncRNA
UAAAGGCCGAUUUAUGCUCAGUUACGUAAGCGUAAGCGCAAGCGCAAGAGGCCCUUGCGCGCCCUUGCGCACCCCUUGCGCGACUUCUCACGUCUUGCGUGCGUCGGGCGAUUUUUCUAGACUGUGAUUGGUCUGCUCGUCUGGUUACUACUUCCUGUCUGGAGUAUCACAUUUCCUGUUUUCAUACCGCCACCUACCACACGAUCUGGCACAUAAUUAUGCGAACCCUUUAUGCAAACCCUUCCACAGGGGCAAAGUGCUAUUUUGAUGCGCGACAUCACACAGCUGAUGCGGGAUUGUGAGCCAUUUUAAUGAUCUUGUCACCCGAUAUUCGUUCUAUUAGGCCUACUGGCCUUAUUUGUUUUAGUGUUAGCCUAUUUGAAUUAAUUACGUAAUGUUUUGUGUUCACGUUCUAUGUGAAACAUAAGUGUUCAUGUUCUGUGUGAAACAUAAGUUCAGUAGCCUCUUUGAGUGAAUGAAAUUUGAAAGCGUGAGUGUUACUGUGUAGUGAAUGAAAAAUGUGUGCGUGUAUGGUGGGACUAUUUUCUGUAUUUGAUAAAUAAACCCCUUUUCUCUAAUAAUGCUGCCUACCAUAUAAUUUAUGUGGACAUUAUGCGCUAUAGCUUAAAGCCUUUGGCUAUAGGCCUACACUUAAAUAAUUCAUUCAUCUGUCAAGGCAGUAGCUGUUAUAUAAACAUUUGAUAUGGAUAUGAAUUAAUGAGUUUGACGUAAACCAAAUUAGGUAACUUGUGUAACAUAACUAAUGAAUCAAAAGUCAUGCUGACCAAUGUAUAUAUAUUUAUUGGUCAGUGCGCAUACCCAAUCGUAGCACAUUGUACUGGUGGGGAAACACGCCAGCAUCUGACAAAAAAUAAUCUGCCAGCUGCCCUGACAAGGGCCGGUUUUGGUGAGAGUCGGGAAGAUAUCGGAUGACUCGCGAAAGGAGAUCAUCAAACUUUGGCACAUAAACAAACCAACGACUCCCACAGACAAAGACGUCAUUCUCGAGGUCGUCUUCAACGAAAAACUUUACUCCACAUAUUACUCCACCUACUGUUCUGGCGGUAAAUUGCUUGGCAACACGCGCAAC